UACGAAGGGGGCUAGCGUUGCUCGGAAUCACUGGGCGUAAAGGGUGCGUAGGCGGGUUUUUAAGUCAGGGGUGAAAUCCUGGAGCUCAACUCCAGAACUGCCUUUGAUACUGAAGAUCUUGAGUCCGGGAGAGGUGAGUGGAACUGCGAGUGUAGAGGUGAAAUUCGUAGAUAUUCGCAAGAACACCAGUGGCGAAGGCGGCUCACUGGCCCGAUACUGACGCUGAGGUGCGAAAAGCGUGGGGAGCAAACAGG
rnacentral:rRNA from 1 species